AAAUUGGGGGUGCAUGGUCCAUUAAAGCUUAACUGAAAAUAAUUAAAAAAAGAAAAGAAGCUGGGCCGGACCGGGUCGGGUCAGGAUGACCCGGAUCCGCCUCUUCUCUCUUAAUGCAAGGUUGGGUUGGAAAAACCUAAAGAAAACAAACAAGAGGCAGCGCCUCUUCUUUCUCAAUUCACGUUCUCUGCUGGAAAAAAUUUCAUCUUCUCAGAACAAACAAAAACAGCAACUCGUCUCCUCUCUCUCACUCGUAGUAGAACAACAACAACAAAACCCUCGGUUUCCCUCACUGAUUUUCUCUCUCGAAUUCGUUCUCUGCUCUCUCUCGUUUUCACUCGCGAUCAACAACAACAAUGAUCUCGGCGGCCAUGGAAGAAGCUUGAAGAACCCAGUCACAUAGCGUAAACAAACAACGAUGACAACCUCCGCCUCUCUCUUGCCGUAAACAGCAAUAAUGACAACAACUCUCACUCGGUGCUCUAUGCGGUUUAGAUAGUAACACCGACCUCCUCUGUUCUAGCUUAUCAUCAUCAUCACUGAUUUUCAGAACCUCACAGAGAUUCAACCGAGUUUGACAAGUGAAGCAAUAAUUAUUUAUGCAGUCUAUGGUAGGAAAUUGAUCUACUGCAUCAAGAGGAUUAAAUUGCUAUCUAAAAGGAAGCGAGGAAAAAGAACCUGAUCGGAGCAAGUCCGAUGAAUCAAUUUCAGCGUCGGCUUUUGACAGCUAUGCACAAUAAUAACAUAUUUGCAAGAAUGAUUUAAACAAUAAUAUUUGAGCAUGAGGAUGAAUACAACUUACCUACGGCGAGGAGGUGUUCGCCGGUUUAUUGUUGAGGAUCCUUUGAUGAAGAUGAAGCCACCUCUCUUUGGAUAUUAGGGAGACUUGAAGGUGGCCUUCAAGUUGGAACUCUCCACCAAGGUAUGAAGAAUUUCUUCUUCACUCCCCUUCAAGAAACUAUGUAGCUAGAAACUCUUAUUUUUUCAAGUAGUUUUCUUUGAUUUGAAGAAUUUCUCCUUCUAACAAAGAAACAUGAAAACUAUAAGAGAAGAGGAAGAAGUGAGAAAGCUAGUAGUAUAGUAGCUUUGGUGUGAUUUGCAAUGAAGUGAGGCCUUCUAUUUAUAGGAAAAGUUAAGGGUGUGUUUGGCAUUUGGUAAACUUGAUUCAAUCAUUGCAAGAUAAGAAAAAGAAUAAGAAUAUUCUUUAUGAGAUUUUUCUCUUGCAAGUGGACAUGAAAUAUCUUUGAUUCCUUUUGUCUUGAAUUAUUUCUUUUUUUUGAAUUAUUUCUUUUGUUGGAUUUUUGCUAAUCCCACCCCUUUUUGUUUUGACUUGGGCUUUUGAAUACUUUGUUGAACUUUUUGCUAAUCUCACCCUUCUUGUUUCUUUUUCCAUGUGACAUGAGCAUUCUUGAUGAAAGCAUGAAGAAAUUCAAUUUUGAAGAAUGAAGACUUUGAAGAAUGAAGAAUUUAAGAAAGUCUUUGAAGCUUUUUUUCUUUUUCUUGUAAUUCCAAUUCAUUCCAACUUUAAAUUGUAUGAACUUUGCAUUCUUGAAAAUGAAUGGAAUUUUGUAAUUCUUGAACUUUAGAUAAAGUUUCUUUGUAAUUCAUUUGUUCCAUGUAAAUGCUUGAACUUCUUUU